GCAUGGAUGAAUUCUGCACUAGCUUUCCUCAGUAGCUAAUGCAGUCAGACACUAUGCCAGAGUAAAUUCCCUUUUUGCACUGAAAUGGGUGUGCUUUUUGUAUGAGAAAAAAUACACGGGUGUGCCCGUGGAAGUGGGAUACAU
rfam:Cuculus canorus isolate BGI_N303 unplaced genomic scaffold scaffold613, whole genome shotgun sequence.